CUCCUUUACAUGUGAUACGGUGAGCCUUCCCUCUUACACGAAGACAAUAGCAUGCUUUCGAAUGAGUGUCUGGAUGACCCCUGAGUUGAAACCAGUGUACGGUGGCACGUACUAUCCUCCCGACGAUCGUUACUAUGACCAACCUGGUUUCACAACUAUACUUAAAUCCUUGGCUCAACAGUGGAAGGAAAACCCGCAGAAAUUUAAGAACUCUGGUGGAAGCAUUAUGGCAGCUUUGACAAAAGCAGCCAUUUUGGGCAAGGGAAAUCAAGGGCCUAGUGCUGCUGAAUGUGGAAACCUUUUAAUAAAUUUUGAUCUUUUGCCUCAAGUCUAGUUUCAUUGGUUCCUGCAGGUGACAAAAUUUGAUGAAAGAUAACAUGGGAGACAAAGAUUUAAAAGUGCCCAUGUUAUUUAAAUAAAUCGGCACAUACCAAACAGUAUUUUCAAAGCUGUCGAAAGGUAAAGUUCAAUGAUGAAACACGUCUUUUGGAUAAAGAAAUCCUUCUUUGCUAUUUGCCUCGCGCUUAUCCUUCACUUUCACCAUUCCCAUGAACAAGACAAUUAAUCAUCCGGAACCACAUUUUCUGCCUCAUCGACCGUCCCAUGUGUAGACUGCAAAAAUUCAACAUCUAGCACCCGUAUUUUCACGGCGUCUUAUGUUUCAACGACUUUGUCAGGUAUUGGAUUUGAUGAAUUUAAGGGAACGAUGUAAUUAAAAGUAUGCCCGGGCAAUCUUUUAAAGAAAACGUUUAUAACAAAUCAAUCCGGAUCUUUACCUUUUCUUCUGCAUCCUCAAGUCCUCAUCUUCAUCUCAUCGUCUUUAAGCUGAUCGUCUUUCCCUCACCAUCUUCAAGCUGACCAUCUUCCCCUCACCGUCUUCAAAAU